rnacentral:tRNA from 2 species
AGUAAGGUCAGCUAACAAAAGCUCUUGGGCCCAUACCCCAAUCAUAUAGGUUAAAAUCCUAUCUUUACUA